AUUGAACGCUGGCGGCAUGCCUUACACAUGCAAGUCGAACGGUAACGGGCCUUCGGGUGCCGACGAGUGGCGAACGGGUGAGUAAUACAUCGGAACGUGCCCGAUCGUGGGGGAUAACGAGGCGAAAGCUUUGCUAAUACCGCAUACGAUCUACGGAUGAAAGCAGGGGACCGCAAGGCCUUGCGCGGACGGAGCGGCCGAUGGCAGAUUAGGUAGUUGGUGGGAUAAAAGCUUACCAAGCCGACGAUCUGUAGCUGGUCUGAGAGGAUGAUCAGCCACAAUGGGACUGAGACACGGCCCAGACUCCUACGGGAGGCAGCAGUGGGGAAUUUUGGACAAUGGGCGCAAGCCUGAUCCAGCCAUGCCGCGUGCAGGAUGAAGGCCUUCGGGUUGUAAACUGCUUUUGUACGGAACGAAAAGCCUUCUUUUAAUACAGGAGGGUCAUGACGGUACCGUAAGAAUAAGCACCGGCUAACUACGUG
rnacentral:rRNA from 1 species